rnacentral:rRNA from 1 species
AUUGAACGCUGGCGGCAGGCCUAACACAUGCAAGUCGAACGGCAGCGGGGGAUAGCUUGCUAUCCUGCCGGCGAGUGGCGGACGGGUGAGUAAUGCAUGGGGAGCUGCCCAGUCGAGGGGGAUAACAACUGGAAACGGUUGCUAAUACCGCAUACGCCCUGAGGGGGAAAGGUGGGGAACUUCGGUCCUACCGCGAUUGGAUGCGCCCAUGUGGGAUUAGCUAGUUGGUGAGGUAACGGCUCACCAAGGCGACGAUCUCUAGCUGGUCUGAGAGGAUGACCAGCCACACUGUAACUGAGACACGGUCCAGACUCCUACGGGAGGCAGCAGUGGGGAAUAUUGCACAAUGGGGGAGACCCUGAUGCAGCCAUGCCGCGUGUGUGAAGAAGGCCUUCGGGUUGUAAAGCACUUUCAGUCAGGAGGAAGGGGUGAUGGCUAAUAUCCAUCAUCAUUGACGUUGCUGACAGAAGAAGCACCGGCUAACUCCGUGCCAGCCGCCGCAGUAA